GGACGAACGCUGGCGGCGUGCCUAAUACAUGCAAGUCGAGCGGASUUGAUGGAGUGCUUGCWCUCCUGAURSUUAGCGGCGGACGGGUGAGUAACACGUAGGUAACCUGCCCAUAAGACUGGGAUAACUACCGGAAACGGUAGCUAAUACCGGAUAGGUUCUUCUCUCGCAUGGGAGGRGAAAGAAAGACGGAGCAAUCUGUCACUUAUGGAUGGACCUGCGGCGCAUUAGCUAGUUGGUGAGGUAACGGCUCACCAAGGCGACGAUGCGUAGCCGACCUGAGAGGGUGAUCGGCCACACUGGGACUGAGACACGGCCCAGACUCCUACGGGAGGCAGCAGUAGGGAAUCUUCCGCAAUGGGCGAAAGCCUGACGGAGCAACGCCGCGUGAGUGAUGAAGGUUUUCGGAUCGUAAAGCUCUGUUGCCAGGGAAGAACGUCCUUAAGAGUAACUGCUUARGGAGUGACGGUACCUGAGAAGAAAGCCCCGGCUAACUAC
rnacentral:rRNA from 1 species